rnacentral:rRNA from 1 species
GACGAACGCUGGCGGCGUGCUUAACACAUGCAAGUCGAACGGAAAGGCCCUGCUUUUGUGGGGUGCUCGAGUGGCGAACGGGUGAGUAACACGUGAGUAACCUGCCCUUGACUUUGGGAUAACUUCAGGAAACUGGGGCUAAUACCGGAUAGGAGCUCCUGCUGCAUGGUGGGGGGUUGGAAAGUUUCGGCGGUUGGGGAUGGACUCGCGGCUUAUCAGCUUGUUGGUGGGGUAGUGGCUGACCAAGGCUUUGACGGGUAGCCGGCCUGAGAGGUUGACCGGCCACAUUGGGACUGAGAUACGGCGCAGACUCCUACGGGAGGCAUCAGUGGGGAAUAUUGCACAAUGGGCGGAAGCCUGAUGCAGCAACGCCGCGUGCGGGAUGACGGCCUUCUGGUUGUAAACCGCUUUCGCCUGUGACGAAGCGUGAGUGACGGUAAUGGGUAAAGAAGCACCGGCUAACUACGUG